rnacentral:misc_RNA from 1 species
GAUGAAGAACGUAGCGAAAUGCGAUAAGUAAUGUGAAUUGCAGAAUUCAGUGAAUCAUCGAAUCUUUGAACGCACAUUGCGCCCGCCAGUAUUCUGGCGGGCAUGCCUGUUCGAGCGUCAUUUCAACCAUCAAGCCCCCGGCUUGUGUUGGGGACCUGCGGCUGCCGCAGGCCCUGAAAAGCAGUGGCGGGCUCGCUGUCACACCGAGCGUAAUAGCAUACAUCUCGCUCUGGGCGUGCUGCGGGUUCCGGCCGUUAAACCACCUUCAUAACCCAAGGUUGACCUCGGAUCAGGUAGGAAGACCCGCUGAACUUAAGCAUAUCAAUAAGCGGAGGA